rnacentral:lncRNA from 1 species
CUGGGCUGUUUUUUUUUGGAAAAGUCUUGCAUUAGCAAUAGUGUGAUCACACACUGAUAAAGUGGACCUUCCCAAAGUACUUCAGUAAGCUGUUGUAGAAAGAAAAAAGAGAGGAAGAUGUGGAAAGACUUUAAUAAGAUGCAUGAAACCAUGAGGUCUUCUUGUCUCUAUAUAUCUUUAAGGCAGAUAACAAAAUGAGGCAAGUCAUCCUUGUUUUGUCUGAUUUUUCCUCUGGAUUUGUACUGGACUUCUUAUGAAAGUUACAGAAGUACCAUGUUCUGAAUCUUACUGUUCUUUAUGAUUUAAAAUCAUUAUGUCUUAGGAGGAAUCAAACUAUGGCUCUUAAGCAAUUUGUUGUUCCCACAUUAGCAUCUGACUAGCAAAGGCACUCUAGUAGGCAACUGUGAGUUUUGCAGAUCCUCAGCUGUGAAGUAUAGCACAGCAGGAACCACUGGGCUUGAUUGACAUUGCUCAUUUGCUCUUUAACACAGCUGCCUGCUAAUCCCACCAGGAAAUGUCUCUGAACCAUAACAGAUUCAGUUGCUGUAUACCUGUGAUAUACUCUGGGAUCUCCUCUGCUAGCUCUUACUCCUGAAUAAUGCAGAUGAUUGAUGCUUGCCUGCUUUGGGGUGCUGCAAGAUGUUAGACUGCCUGAGAUCACGUAAUAUCUAUGAUGCUGAAGGAAAGGCCACAGUUGUCUUUACCCUGCAAUGAGUUUCAUCAAGAGAGCAGAGGAGACUUUACUAAAUAUCCUGGAUCAUGUCGUAAGGGACACAACACAUCAGCAAUAACAAGGCAUGGUAACAAUACGUCUGAGGGCUACAAAGAUCGUGGCCUAUGUGGCCCCAGUAAGUGAAGUACUGAAACUCUGGUCCACUUGGAUUAUAAUGAAUAGACAGGUGAGGUGUGAAGUUGCAUGCUGAAUUGGCUGCUGCAAAUGCAAUGCUGAAUGUCUUUUAGGAUAAGCCCCAAAAUACUGAAACACAGCCCAAGAUUUGUUUCUAGACACACUAGAAGCAGAAUGAAUGCCCCACAUCCUCACACCAGAAGCAGCUAGAACAAUGUCUGAGCUCUGCUUGUUACCAAUCUAGAGGCUUGGCUAAGGCCCUUCCCUCUCCCAGCAGGCAGCGCUGGGCCUGAUGAACCCAGAGUAUGGUUUGCUCUUUGGGCUGCCAGGGCAUGCUGCUGACUCAUAUUCAACUUGCUGCCAAACAGAACCCCC